rnacentral:rRNA from 1 species
AACGCGAAGAACCUUACCAGGUCUUGACAUCCCCCUGAAGCUGCUAGAGAUAGCAGGGGCCUUCGGGACAGGGGAGACAGGUGGUGCAUGGUUGUCGUCAGCUCGUGUCGUGAGAUGUUGGGUUAAGUCCCGCAACGAGCGCAACCCUUGAUGUUAGUUGCCAGCAGGUGAAGCUGGGCACUCUAACGUGACUGCCGGUGACAAACCGGAGGAAGGUGGGGAUGACGUCAAAUCAUCAUGCCCCUUAUGACCUGGGCUACACACGUACUACAAUGGCCGGUACAACGGGAAGCGAAACCGCGAGGUGGAGCGAAUCCUUAGAAGCCGGUCUCAGUUCGGAUUGCAGGCUGCAACUCGCCUGCAUGAAGUCGGAAUUGCUAGUAAUCGCGGAUCAGCAUGCCGCGGUGAAUACGUUCCCGGGCCUUGUACACACCGACGCAC